GUGGGUAUUCUUACAUACUAUUACAUCAUUCUACUUCUGAUCAUUUCUUGUGAGUUGUUUCCCUUCUAGAAGCUGCAUUUAUCAGCGCCAAUUUGCUCCCACAAACAGCAAAGUUCCGUUCUUUGUUUGGUGGGUUGCUCUCUUUGUCCUUUAAAACAUUGAAUACUAGGAUAAGAGAUAAUGGCCGGUGGCAGAAAGAGGAAAUUGCGUCUUAGCAAGAUCUACUCAUUUGGAUGCGGCAAAUCAUCCUUCCAGGAUGACCAUUCGCAGAUAGGGGGACCAGGGUUCUCAAGGGUUGUUUUCUGCAAUGAACCUGACAGUUUUGAGUCUGGGAUUCGAAAGUACAUCAACAACUAUGUUAGUACUACCAAGUAUACUCCUGCUACUUUCUUGCCCAAAUCAUUGUUUGAGCAGUUUAGGAGGGUGGCCAACUUUUAUUUCCUGGUUAGUGGCAUCUUGUCUUUCACUCCUCUUUCGCCUUAUGGGGCUAUCAGUGCCAUUAUCCCUCUCAUCGUUGUUAUUGGAGCCACCAUGGUCAAAGAAGGAAUUGAAGAUUGGAAGCGACAACAGCAGGAUAUUGAGGUGAAC
rnacentral:misc_RNA from 1 species